rnacentral:rRNA from 1 species
GGCCCGUAAUCCGGGUUGCGGACAGUGUCUGGUGGGUAGUUUGACUGGGGCGGUCUCCUCCUAAAGAGUAACGGAGGAGCACGAAGGUUGGCUAAUCCUGGUCGGACAUCAGGAGGUUAGUGCAAUGGCAUAAGCCAGCUUGACUGCGAGCGUGACGGCGCGAGCAGGUGCGAAAGCAGGUCAUAGUGAUCCGGUGGUUCUGAAUGGAAGGGCCAUCGCUCAACGGAUAAAAGGUACUCCGGGGAUAACAGGCUGAUACCGCCCAAGAGUUCAUAUCGACGGCGGUGUUUGGCACCUCGAUGUCGGCUCAUCACAUCCUGGGGCUGAAGUAGGUCCCAAGGGUAUGGCUGUUCGCCAUUUAAAGUGGUACGCGAGCUGGGUUUAGAACGUCGUGAGACAGUUCGGUCCCUAUCUGCCGUGGGCGCUGGAGAACUGAGGGGGGCUGCUCCUAGUACGAGAGGACCGGAGUGGACGCAUCACUGGUGUUCGGGUUGUCAUGCCAAUGGCACUGCCCGGUAGCUAAAUGCGGAAGAGAUAAGUGCUGAAAGCAUCUAAGCACGAAACUUGCCCCGAGAUGAGUUCUCCCUGAGACUUAGAGUCUCCUGAAGGAACGUUGAAGACGACGACGUUGAUAGGCCGGGUGUGUAAGCGCAGCGAUGCGUUGAGCUAACCGGUACUAAUGAACCGUGAGGCU